rnacentral:rRNA from 1 species
AAUACGUUCCCGGGCCUUGUACACACCGCCCGUCACGUCACGAAAGUCGGCAACACCCGAAGCCCAUGGCCUAACCCGGUUUUCCGGGGGGGAGUGGUCGAAGGUGGGGUCGGCGAUUGGGACG